rnacentral:tRNA from 2 species
CCGACCUUAGCUCAGUUGGUAGAGCGGAGGACUGUAGGCGUUGCAGUGAAAUCCUUAGGUCGCUGGUUCGAAUCCGGCAGGUCGGA